UUCUUUGCAGUGCUCACACAGAUUGUCUGAUAGGAAGUGAAAAGCAAGGCGUCUUGCGAAGCAGACUGAUACGUCCCCUUCGUCUAGAGGCCCAGGACACCGCCCUUUCACGGCGGUAACAGGGGUUCGAAUCCCCUAGGGGACGCCACUUGCUGGUUUGUGAGUGAAAGUCACCUGCCUUAAUAUCUCAAAACUCAUCUUCGGGUGAUGUUUGAGAUAUUUGCUCUUUAAAAAUCUGGAUCAAGCUGAAAAUUGAAACACUGAACAACGAAAGUUGUUCGUGAGUCUCUCAAAUUUUCGCAACACGAUGAUGAAUCGAAAGAAACAUCUUC
rnacentral:tRNA from 1 species